rnacentral:rRNA from 1 species
UACGGAGGGGGCUAGCGUUGUUCGGAAUUACUGGGCGUAAAGCGCACGUAGGCGGCUUUGCAAGUUAGAGGUGAAAGCCCGGGGCUCAACUCCGGAAUUGCCUUUAAAACUGCAUCGCUAGAAUUGUGGAGAGGUAAGUGGAAUUCCGAGUGUAGAGGUGAAAUUCGUAGAUAUUCGGAAGAACACCAGUGGCGAAGGCGACUCACUGGCCCGAUACUGACGCUGAGGCGCGAAAGCGUGGGGAGCAAACAGG